rnacentral:rRNA from 1 species
UACAGAGGGUGCGAGCGUUAAUCGGAAUUACUGGGCGUAAAGGGCGCGUAGGCGGCCACCGCAAGUCGACUGUGAAAUCUCCGGGCUUAACUCGGAACGGUCAACUGAUACUGUGCGGCUAGAGUGCAGAAGGGGCAACUGGAAUUCUUGGUGUAGCGGUGAAAUGCGUAGAUAUCAAGUGGAACACCAGUGGCGAAGGCGAAUCCCUGGAAAAUACCUGACACUGAGGCACGAAAGCUAGGGGAGCAAACAGG